rnacentral:lncRNA from 1 species
ACAGGGUUCAUUCCUCAGAGAUACUACUGUGACUUUCUUUAAAAACUCCAGUGAUGCAGCCAUACAACGUCACUAGGUAACCUGCUCCACACUGACUAAAUCUCACGGUUUCUCCAUCCAGCCCCCCUGGUUCAACCCUGCCCCAUGGUCUCUUCUCCCAGUGCAGUGGCCAUCUCGGAGCAGAGGUGGUGACCCACUCCUCACAGCAGGAAAAGAGACUAACCAAGAUUCAUUCCGAAGAAAAAGAAGGGGAAGAAAUAGGAGGGAGGACAAACACCAUUUACUCAAAGCACUGGUUAACUCUUAGCUUCCUACAACGGCAGCGGACACCCCGACAGGUAUUAAGCUUUAUGCUUCAGAACUUCAACAAAUCUUUAGAAGAUCAAAAAUAGGCUUCUUGCCAAAAAGAGAAUGCAGAUUAUGGUAUCUGCCCCAAACCGAGUUCCCUUGCAGCCUUUGCCAUUAGUCAUUUGUCAGAAUCAAAGUACUGAACAGAACGGACAUCAGUACUAACCCAUUAUGCCAGGUCUUAGAUCAGCUAGCCUACAAUGCAGCAGACUGCUGUAACAAUCUUGUAUCAAAAUACUAUUUUUACCAGAGUGCCAAGUCCUAACGUUCUCCGCUUCAUUCAACAUAUCAACCACCAGCACUCUAC